AUCCUACUAGGUUUGGAAAUGAAUUGAAGCCGAUUGUGGUACUCUCUCUCUCUCUCCCUCUCUCUCUCUAACCUCACAAUUUUCAUUUUCAGACCGACACACAGGCACUUUACUCAUCUACCAAACACUCCCUAAGCCAAAGGGAACUUACUAAAGAGGCGGGAAAGGAUUCAUUCGUUCACUCACUAAGUGAUAGGCACGGCUGCAGAGAGGAGACCGAACACUGAACAGACACACUGGACAAGGAGCCUGUGGGCUAAUCGGUUCGAUUUCUGAUUCCCACAAGCGAUGGGUAUCAAGGGUUUGACGAAGCUUUUGGCGGACAAUGCCCCGAAAGCGAUGAAAGAGCAGAAAUUCGAGAGCUACUUCGGCCGGAAAGUCGCCAUUGACGCCAGCAUGAGCAUCUACCAGUUCCUUAUUGUUGUGGGAAGGAGCGGGACUGAGAUGCUCACAAAUGAAGCUGGUGAAGUUACUAGUCAUUUGCAAGGAAUGUUCUCUCGGACAAUUAGACUUUUGGAAUCUGGAUUGAAGCCAGUCUAUGUUUUUGAUGGGAAGCCUCCAGAUUUGAAAAAGCAAGAACUUGCAAAACGUUUGUCAAGGAGGACAGACGCCACUGAGGACUUGGCAGAAGCCAAAGAGGUCGGCAAUAAGGAGGAUAUUGAGAAAUUCAGCAAAAGAACAGUGAAGGUGACAGCGCAACACAAUGAGGACUGCAAAAAACUUUUAAGACUAAUGGGAGUGCCUGUAAUUGAGGCUCCUUCAGAAGCAGAGGCACAGUGUGCUGCACUUUGCAAAUCAGGAAAGGUUUAUGCCGUGGCUUCUGAGGACAUGGAUUCCCUGACAUUUGGGGCUCCUAUAUUUCUUCGGCAUUUGAUGGAUCCUAGCUCAAGAAAAGUCCCUGUGAUGGAAUUUGAAAUUGCGAAGAUUUUGGUAGAGCUGAAUCUAACAAUGGAUCAAUUCAUUGACCUGUGCAUUCUUUCUGGAUGUGAUUAUUGUGAUAGCAUUAGAGGUAUUGGAGGACAGACUGCUCUGAAGCUCAUCCGCCAACAUGGUUCUAUAGAAAAUAUGCUAGAGAACAUAAACAAAGAGAGGUACCAAAUACCUGACGAUUGGCCAUAUCAGGAGGCUCGGUGCUUGUUUAAAGAACCAUUAGUAUUUGCAGAGGACGAGCAUCCCGAGAUUAAGUGGACUGCUCCAGAUGAAGAAGGACUGAUAACUUUUUUGGUGAAUGAAAAUGGGUUCAACAGUGAGAGAGUAACAAAAGCAAUAGAAAAAAUAAAGGCUGCAAAGAACAAGUCAUCACAAGGCCGAUUAGAAUCGUUCUUCAAGCCUGUUGUUAGCACUUCAAUACCUGUUAAACGGAAGGAAACAUCAGAUAAAUCAACAAAGGAAGCUAAGAACAAAAAAUCAAAGGCUGGUCGCGGUAAGAAGUAGUUGAUUCACUGUUAUGUUCACUUAGUGAUGGGGCUCAAUCAUUCUGAUCAGGUAAUAGAGGAAAUGCUUUCUUUUCACAAAGUUUUCGUGGAGGAUGCAUGCUAAUUGCAAUUCUUGGUCGGAGCUAUCUGUUUAGUUGGAUUUAAAGAAAGAUAUGGGAAGUUGAUGUGUAAUUUAAAGAUUCUCAUGUUUGUGUCAAAAUUUUUUCAUCCAACAGUUGGUUUUGUGAGAUCAUCCUGAUUGAAAAUCACAGAGUGGGCAUAUAUGAGCAGUUUUUGCUUUCUUUGCUUCCCA